GCGUGGGAACGUACCUUUUGGUUCGGAACAACUGAGGGAAACUUCAGCUAAUACCGGAUAAGCCCUUACGGGGAAAGAUUUAUCGCCGAAAGAUCGGCCCGCGUCUGAUUAGCUAGUUGGUGAGGUAAUGGCUCACCAAGGCGACGAUCAGUAGCUGGUCUGAGAGGAUGAUCAGCCACAUUGGGACUGAGACACGGCCCAAACUCCUACGGGAGGCAGCAGUGGGGAAUAUUGGACAAUGGGGGCGACCCUGAUCCAGCCAUGCCGCGUGAG
rnacentral:rRNA from 1 species